AUACGUAGGUGACAAGCGUUAUCCGGAUUUACUGGGCGUAAAGGGCGUGUAGGCGGUCUUGCAAGUCAGAAGUGAAAUUCCUGAGCUCAACUCGGGCGCUGCUUCUGAAACUGCAGGACUUGAGUGCUGGAGGGGAUAGCGGAAUUCCUAGUGGAGCGGUAAAAUGCGCAGAUAUUAGGAAGAACACCGGUGGCGAAGGCGGCUAUCUGGACAGUAACUGACGCUGAGGCGCGAAAGCGUGGGGAGCAAACAGGAUUAGAUACCCCGGUAGUCCACGCUGUAAACGAUGAAUACUAGGUGUAGGGGGUAUCGACUCCCUCUGUGCCGCAGUUAACACAAUAAGUAUUCCGCCUGGGGAGUACGGCCGCAAGGUUGAAACUCAAAUGAAUUGACGGGG
rnacentral:rRNA from 1 species